GCACCUUGAAAACUGAACAAUACGAAAGCAAAAGCAACAAUAGAGGAAAUGUUAAAAUGUUAUUCCGAUCUUAAUUUAUAGAUCAGCAAAUAGGUUUUGACGUUUAUAUUGUUGGGAUAUGAUCGAAAAGAUCAUACUACAAAAUAGCUAAAUUUAACCGAGAUUACUCUAAUAAUUGAGAUAAACGAAACCGCCUGAACUGAAACAUCUAAGUAGGGCGAGGAAGAGAAAUCAACCGAGAUUCCGCUAGUAGUGGCGAGCGAACGCGGAAGAGGCCAAACCGGAGGUAGCAAUAUUUCCGGGGUUAGGACUGCAAUAUGUAACUUUAAUCUUUAACUGAAUGCUUUGGGAAGAGCAGCGAUACAGGGUGAUAGCCCCGUAAGUGAAAAGGAUUGAGUGCUAGCAGUAUCCAGAGUACCAGCGGACACGUGAAACCCGCUGGGAAGAUGGGGGGACCAUCCUCCAAGCCUAAAUACUACUCAGUGACCGAUAGUGGAGCAGUACCGUGAGGGAAAGGUGAAAAGUACCCCGGGAGGGGAGUGAAAAAGAACCUGAAACCUUGUGCCUACAAGCACCGAGAGUCCGUUAAUGGAUGAUCGGGUACUUUUUGUAGAACGGUCCGGCGAGUUAAUAUUUGCAGCGAGGUUAAGGAACUGGAGUUCCGGAGCCGCAGCGAGAGCGAGUCUGAAAAGGGCGUAUGAAGUUGCAGGUAUUAGACCCGAAACCGGGUGACCUAUCCAUGAGCAGGCUGAAGCGGUGGUAAGACACCGUGGAGGGCCGCACCCACGUCUGUUGAAAAAGCCGGGGAUGACUUGUGGAUAGCGGAGAAAUUCCAAUCGAACUCGGAGAUAGCUGGUUCUCCCCGAAAUAGCUUUAGGGCUAGCGUUAUUUUAGAUUACCGGAGGUAAAGCACUGAAUGGUCUAGGGGCCGCGAGGUUACCAAAGCCUAUCAAACUCUGAAUGCCGGAUAAUUGAUGAAUAGCAGUCAGACUGUGUGAGAUAAGUCUCAUAGUCAAAAGGGAAACAGCCCAGAUCUACAGCUAAGGUCCCAAAUGAACACUAAGAAGUCAGAGCGGAAGCACUGGUGGACUGCAUACGAGUGAGAAUGCCGGAAUAAGUAGCGAGAAUUAUGUGAGAAUCAUAAUGGCCGAAAAUCUAAGGUUUCUUGGGGAAGGUUCGUCCGCCCAAGGUUAGUCGGGAGCUAAGCUCAGGCCGAAAGGCGUAGGCGAUGCACAUACGGUAGAAAUUCCGUAACCACCGAACAUUUAAGCUAGAGGGACGCUUUCAUUAAGUCUAUCCCGGGCGAUGGUUGCCCCGGGCGUAAGGGACCGAAAUUUAGUAGGGAAGUAGACGGCGUGAGAGACGAGAAAAGCUCUAGUGUAUACUAAGGUGCCCGUACCGCAAACCGACACAGGUAGAUGGGAUGAGUAUUCUAAGGCCAACGGGAGAAGGGUUGUUAAGGAACUCGGCAAAUUGGCCCCGUAACUUCGGGAUAAGGGGCGCCUGCGAGAGCAGGCCGCAGUGAAAAGGCCCAAGCGACUGUUUAGCAAAAACACAGCUCUCUGCUAAAUCGAAAGAUGACGUAUAGGGGGUGACGCCUGCCCGGUGCUGGAAGGUUAAGGGGAGUGCUUAGCAGCAAUGCGAAGGUGCGAACUUAAGCCCCAGUAAACGGCGGCCGUAACUAUAACGGUCCUAAGGUAGCGAAAUUCCUUGUCAGGUAAGUUCUGACCCGCACGAAUGGCGUAACGA
rnacentral:rRNA from 1 species